rnacentral:rRNA from 1 species
UGGGGAAUUUUGGACAAUGGGCGAAAGCCUGAUCCAGCCAUGCCGCGUGCAGGAUGAAGGCCUUCGGGUUGUAAACUGCUUUUUGUACGGAACGAAAAGACUCUGGUUAAUACCUGGGGUCCAUGACGGUACCGUAAGAAUAAGCACCGGCUAACUACGUGCCAGCAGCCGCGGUAAUACGUAGGGUGCAAGCGUUAAUCGGAAUUACUGGGCGUAAAGCGUGCGCAGGCGGUUAUAUAAGACAGAUGUGAAAUCCCCGGGCUCAACCUGGGAACUGCAUUUGUGACUGUAUAGCUAGAGUACGGCAGAGGGGGUAUGGAAUUCCGCGUGUAGCAGUGAAAUGCGUAGAUAUGCGGAGGAACACCGAUGGCGAAGGCAAUCCCCUGGGCCUGUACUGACGCUCAUGCACGAAAGCGUGGGGAGCAAACAGGAUUAGAUACCCUGGUAGUCC